CCUACGGGGAGCUGCAGUGAGGAAUAUUGGUCAAUGGCCGCAGGGCUGAACCAGCCAAGUCGCGUGAGGGAUGACGGUCCUAUGGAUUGUAAACCUCUUUUGUCAGGGAGCAAAGGGCGCCACGUGUGGCGCUUUGCGAGUACCUGAAGAAAAAGCAUCGGCUAACUCCGUGCCAGCAGCCGCGGUAAUACGGAGGAUGCGAGCGUUAUCCGGAUUUAUUGGGUUUAAAGGGUGCGCAGGCGGAAUGUCAAGUCAGCGGUAAAAUUUCGGGGCUCAACCCCGUCGUGCCGUUGAAACUGGCGUUCUUGAGUGAGCGAGAAGUAUGCGGAAUGCGUGGUGUAGCGGUGAAAUGCAUAGAUAUCACGCAGAACUCCGAUUGCGAAGGCAGCAUACCGGCGCUCAACUGACGCUCAUGCACGAAAGCGUGGGUAUCGAACAGGAUUAGAUACCCUGGUAGUC
rnacentral:rRNA from 1 species